rnacentral:lncRNA from 1 species
CAUGUGUUAGGCAAAUCACUUCAUUUUUCUCAUCUUUCUUUUCCUUCUUGGUGUUACAGCUUAUUUUCUAAAAACCACUAUUUUGGAUAUUCCUGUUUCAGUUGUUUUCAUUCUCUCUUCUUGGAAGCACCUGAGAACAAUUGCUUAAAUUUUAACUUUUUACUCAAUUUUACUCCCUAAGCACCUGGCUUGCCUCACGCCAGUCCUGGCCCUGCUCUCCACAAAAGCCCAGGAAACUCCUAACAUUGCUUCCAAUCAUUAAAAACUUUCACAAGAGUCAGUCAUUAACACCUUCCGCAAGAGGCCUUAGGCUCACCUCUCCAAGGAGACUGAAAAUCAGAAGGAAUACAUUUCCAGUGGAAUUAUAAAGGUCCUAAAUUAUUACCUGGGUGGUCUUUCUUAAGUCAUUUUCCAGAGGAGAAGCCAGCUGCCCUCUCUUGACAUAGCCAUGUGAAGAUGCUCAAGUACUGAAGAUCCUAAGCCUGCCAACAAACAUAAAAGAACUCCAUGAAUCCUGGUUGCAUGCUUCAGAUCAACGGGGAAGAAAAAAGUAAAAAUUACUUCAGAACAGUCUACUUUUAUAAUAUCUUCAAUGAAACAAAAGUUAUAUAGCCUUGAACUUUUAAAAUUUUAUUUGAACACAUGUUAUGAGGACAAGGUGGUAGCAGCUUGCUUCUUCUAUCUGCUUUUGAUCCAUUUCUGGCAUCUGUCAUGAAUAUAACUCUCAGUCACAACUGAUUGAAGCAUUAGUAUUAUGGAGUGAGUUCAUAGAUCACAAACAAUAAA